rnacentral:rRNA from 1 species
GGAGUUAAGAAAUGUAGACUCGCUAAUAUCGGGUCUAUUUGACAAAGGCUCCAAAGGAAGCCACGGCUAACUCUGUGCCAGCAGCCGCGGUAAUACAGAGGUGGCAAGCGUUGUUCGGAAUUAUUGGGCGUAAAGAGCACGUAGGUGGAUUUGUAAGUCAGACGUGAAAGCGUUCUGUUCAACGGAAGAAUUGCAUCUGAAACUACAAACAAUGGGUGUAGGAGGGGAGAGUGGAACUUCUGG